UUCACGGCCAGGAGUACACCUUGUGGACAGCCAUUGACAUUCAAGGCGAGAUCACCCUCGAGAAAUUCAUCGAACGUUUCAAAGAAGACUUCGAAGUUGAUAUCAUCAUACUGUCUGAGGGUCCACGAAUGUUGUACGCCAACUUCCAGCCUCCGUCCACGAGACGUCUCAAGAUGACCAUGAGCGAAGUGUUGGAGGACGUGUCUAAACAGAAGAUCGACCCUGGCAAGCGCUCCUUAGAGUUUGCGAUGAUCUGCACCGACUUUGACGGCAAUGAAGUCGAAGCGCCACGAAUACGCUACCAUCGGCCAGCUCGAGACGACCUCGGGUAUUUUUCCUGAACGGCUCAACAUAAACUGCCGACGCCAUUCUUGCCGCGCCACCAAGAGGCUUGUGAUGCCUGGAGCCCGUUUUGAUGCCAAGAAUCAAUCCACGAGCCUUUCAUCUCAUUCACAUUGCCUCAAAUGGAAGAGUUUCCGCUUGGGCCCCGCGCUUCCACGUUUAAAUUAACGACAAAUUAUACCGACAAAACUCGUAGAGAUGGCUUGCUUUUUCGAAUGUUUACUUAUAUAUUACGCGCGUAUACUCGGUCAUUUUUAUUCUGCUGCAUGCGCUUGGCACUGCUAAAACAUAAGCAUGAUAUUUACAGCGCUAUUAUAAGGCGUGAUAGCACACCGCACAAAUUGAGCAUUUGCAUUACAGCGGGUGAAUUCACCGCCUGUAUGUUUUUUAUCACGUUAUAUGUCACACAUGUCACUCAGAUGUCGCAGAAGUACUUCUUAACUGCGCGACACAUACCAGGAGACUUGUGAACCCUGUAGGAUUGAGAUGUAUUGUUGGAGCUCUCGGCCUGUACUACCCAUACCGAUGUUCUGUACUAACGCUAUAGUGAUGUGCUGGUUCAACGCCUCUGUUCUCUAAGUAAUCGCGCUGGGAAGGAAUGAUCGCUACCUAAAUGUUCCUCCGUUAAAGAGAAGUCAUUUCUGGAAGCGGUUAGCUAUAUUGACAAUCAUUGUGCACGAAUGCUGUAGAACAGUUUUCCAAUCUUCAUAGUUUUUUUCCCCCCUCAUUAUUAUGUCGCAGUAUUUGCGUUUUUAUGUUCACCUGACCUUCAUUAUACCACAUGACUGCAUCAGUUAUCGAACUGUUGAGCGAACAGCAUUAGAAAAGAAAGAGAAGUCUACCAUAAUAAUAAUAAUUGUUGGGGUUUUACGUCCCAAAACUACAUGAUUAUGGGGGGCGCCGUAGAGGUCUCCAUAAAUUUUUACCAUCGGUGUUCUUUACGUGUACUGACAUCGCACAGUACACGGGCCUCUAGCAUUUCGCCUCCAUCGAAAUGCGACCGCCGCGGUGGGGAUCGAACCCUCGACCUUCGGGUCAGCAGCCGAGCACUGUAACUUACACCACCUCGAUGGACGAAGUCUACCAUGCCACAUGUUACGUCAAAAAGCUAAUGUUGGCAACGUCGUGAGGAAAAUGGAAUAAAAGCUUUA
rnacentral:lncRNA from 1 species